rnacentral:rRNA from 1 species
UACGUAGGGGGCAAGCGUUGUCCGGAAUCAUUGGGCGUAAAGAGCGCGUAGGCGGCCCUGUAAGUCCGCUGUGAAAGUCAAGGGCUCAACCCUUGAAUGCCGGUGGAUACUGCAGGGCUAGAGUCCGGAAGAGGCGAGUGGAAUUCCUGGUGUAGCGGUGAAAUGCGCAGAUAUCAGGAGGAACACCUAUUGCGAAGGCAGCUCGCUGGGACGUAACUGACGCUGAGACGCGAAAGCGUGGGGAGCAAACAGG